GCAGGGGCCUGGCCUGGAGUGAGCCGCAGGUCACACGCACGCGCAGCUUGGCAGCAAACUCAGUUUACAAAGAGACAUCUGUUCCAUUACUCUGAUGCACUGUGGCUAAUUACAUCCUGGCCCGUCUGUGAAAUGACAGCCACUUAUUCUCCAGUGAACCAGGUUUCAGCCCCUGACUGGUUGACCCUGUUGCUUUGGAAGAGACAACAUCAUGGCGGGAAUGUGUGUUGAAGCAAACCACUUGCCUCAGAGCCAAGAAGCAAGGGAAGAUGAAGCAUCGACCACACAGAGAACUGUUCCCGGAACCACAAAGCAAUUCCCAUGACAACUUUGGUGAGACCUGGCACCUAAGCUCCCCAAGGAAUUGAGUACCUUCUCCUUUUUGGUUACCCUUUCCAUACAAAUGAGGGAUGCGCUUCUAAUCUGUAUUUAAAGUUUCAUCAAGUUAAACUGGUACUGUCAAAAAGCUGCUCCUUUUCUCCUUGUAAAAGUGUGUCCCCUUCUGAAAAAUGGCAAAAAUCCAACUAAUUAGGUAAAUCACCUGGAUGAGGGUGCACAUAUGUUCCAGGGCCAGAACUGACAAUUCUUAUAUUCUCAAAUGAACCAGGUGAAAAUGGGCCAGGGCAGGGGUGCUGCAGGUGCGUUAGUUGGGUGUGAUGGGGGACAGAGGCUCGAAUAUUGCUUUGAAGAUUAACGGAGAUGGCCUAGAGGUCCCCAGAACACACAAUUUUGGAGGUUCAGUCAUAAGAACAUAAGACUCUUCCACUGGGAGGCUGAAGCAGGAGGAUCGCAAGUUCAAGGUCUGUUGUGGAACUUAGUGAGACCCUGUACCUCCAAAACGAAAAUAUACUUCAGGAGGCAAA